UGAUCAUGGCUCAGAACGUACGCUGGCGGCACGCCUAACACAUGCAAGUCGAACGAAGUAGCAAUACUUAGUGGCAGACGGGUGAGUAACAUGUAGGUAUCUGCCCUUUGGCCUGGAAUAACACGAGGAAACUUGUGCUAAUACCGGAUAAGUCUUUACGGAGAAAGCUUUAUGCACCAUUGGAUGAGCCUGCACUUGAUUAGUUUGUUGGUGGGGUAAUGGCCUACCAAGACUGUGAUCAAUAGCUGAUUUGAGAGGAUGAUCAGCCACAUUGGGACUGAGACACGGCCCAAACUCCUACGGGAGGCAGCAGUGGGGAAUCUUGCACAAUGGGGGAAACCCUGAUGCAGCGAUGCCGCGUGAGUGAAGAAGGCCUUUGGGUUGUAAAGCUCUUUCGUCGGGGAAGAAAAUGACUGUACCCGAAUAAGAAGGUCCGGCUAACUUCGUGCCAGCAGCCGCGGUAAUACGAAGGGACCUAGCGUAGUUCGGAAUUACUGGGCUUAAAGAGUUCGUAGGUGGUUAAAAAAGUUGGUGGUGAAAUCCCAGAGCUUAACUCUGGAACUGCCAUCAAAACUUUUUAGCUAGAGUAUGAUAGAGGAAAGCAGAAUUUCUAGUGUAGAGGUGAAAUUCGUAGAUAUUAGAAAGAAUACCAAUUGCGAAGGCAGCUUUCUGGAUCAUUACUGACACUGAGGAACGAAAGCAUGGGUAGCGAAGAGGAUUAGAUACCCUCGUAGUCCAUGCCGUAAACGAUGUGUGUUAGACGUUGGAAAUUUAUUUUCAGUGUCGCAGCGAAAGCAAUAAACACACCGCCUGGGGAGUACGACCGCAAGGUUAAAACUCAAAUGAAUUGACGGGGACCCGCACAAGUAGUGGAGCAUGUGGUUUAAUUCGAAGAUACGCGCAGAACCUUACCAACACUUGACAUGUUCGUCGCGACUUUAAGAGAUUAAAGUUUUCGGUUCGGCCGGACGAAACACAGGUGCUGCAUGGCUGUCGUCAGCUCGUGUCGUGAGAUGUUGGGUUAA
rnacentral:rRNA from 1 species